AUGUCGGGGACCAUGGCUAUGAGCUCAUACCUGGGCUUCUGUCACCUCCUCCUUGUGAAGCCCAGCAGGAACAACCUGCUUCUUUGUGUGCAGCUGAACAUCAGCCAAUAUGACAAAGAAGAUCUAAAAGUAGUUUCAAAUAAAACGUUUUUAAAAAUUGCCAUUAUACCCCCGCCGCCCCAGUGCCGGCCCUUCCUAGGGAAAGACGCCGGUGAGCGCCCGCGGCCGCCGCCUCCAGGCCCGGAGCCGCCCUGGAGCCCGCGCUGGCCUGAAGCACCGCCGCCGUCCGACGUGCUUGGGGACGCGGCCCUGCAGCGCCUGCGCGACCGGCAGUGGCUAGAGGCGGUGUUCGGAACCCCGCGGCGGGCCGGCUGCCCGGUGCCCCCGCGCGCGCCCGCCAGCCCCAACCUGGGCGAGGUGUGGGCCCGGUUGCACGUGUCCCUGCGCCUGGUGCGGCGGCUGCGCGACCCGGGCCAUGCGCUGCGCGAGGCCGAGGCUGACGGCGUGGCCUGGGCACAGCUGCAUGCGGAGGCAAAGCCGCUGCGCGCCGAGCUGGCCGAGCGACUUCAGCUCCUGACCCAGGCAGCCUAUGUGGGCCAGGCGCGGCGCAGGCUGGAGAGGGUCCGGCGCCGCCGGCUGCGGCUUCGCGAGAGGGCCCGGGAACGCGAGGCCGAGCUGGAGGCGGAGGCCACGCGGGCAGCGGAGCGCGAGCAGGAGAUUGACCGCUGGAGGGUCAAGUGCGUGCAGGAGGUGGAGGAGAAGAAGCGGGAGCAGGAACUUAAAGCUGCUGCUGAUGGUGUCCUAUCUGAAGUGAGGAAAAAACAAGCAGACACCAAAAGAAUGGUGGACAUUCUUCGGGCCUUGGAGAAAUUGAGGAAACUCAGGAAAGAGGCUGCAGCAAGGAAAGGGGUCUGUCCUCCAGCCUCAGCAGAUGAGACCUUUGAGCAUCACCUUCAGCGACUGAGAAAACUCAUUAAAAAACGCUCUGAAUUAUAUGAAGCUGAAGAGAGAGCCCUCAGAGUUAUGUUGGAAGGAGAACAAGAGGAAGAGAGGAAAAGAGAAUUAGAGAAGAAACAGAGGAAAGAAAAAGAAAAAUUUUUACUACAGAAGCGUGAAAUUGAGUCCAAGUUAUUUGGGGAUCCAGAUGAGUUCCCACUUGCUCACCUCUUGCAGCAGCCUUUCCGGCAGUAUUACCUCCAGGCUGAGCACUCCCUGCCAGCGCUCAUCCAGAUAAGGCAUGAUUGGGAUCAGUACCUGGUGCCAUCUGAUCAUCCCAAAGGCAACUCCGUUCCCCAAGGAUGGGUUCUUCCCCCGCUCCCCAGCAACGACAUCUGGGCAACCGCCAUUAAGCUGCAUUAGUAAAGAUGCUCCAGGAGUGUCGUCCAGCCAAGGCUCUUUCCAGCUCUAAGUAUUAGUGACGCUGCCAUCUUCUUGUACUGUAGUAUAAAUCACAACCUCUAAACUCCAUGUGGCAUUUCCCUACCCAGAAGUUACGUUUCCCUUCUGUCCUCUGUCCUGGCCAAGGUGCCUCUUGAAUCAGGAGAUUAAUAUGGUUCCUCAGGAAAGGACCUAGGUGAACUGAGGUUUUUACGACAGGCAGUGGCCUUGGUUCAUGAAAUUCGCCUCUGUUUUGAGGGGCUUGGUCCAGAUUGAUUUAUAAGUUUACUCUUAUCUUUCUUGUGUGGUGAUGGAUAAGUAUACGCUAUACACUCAUACCCUCGACACAGGUGUGCACUGGGUAGAUUUAGCAGUCCCUCCCCCAGUACUCCUUGUUAAGGCAAGCUUGAUGCAAAACCUCCUUACCUUUCUUACCCAGAGAGCCUCCUAACUUCCAGGAAGAAAGGUCAGAAACGCUUUAUCUUCAGUUUUGUGAAUCCCACUUUUGGUGCAG